CUUCUCCCUCCGCCGCGGAGAAACUAAAUUAAAGGGUCUGGGACUGAACGCUCCCCCCGGCCGCUGGGAGAACUGGUAAAGGAGCAGUGGGAGUAACUAACGUCCAGGAUGAACUUAAAGACAACAUAAACCAGAAGAGGAACUAUACGUAAACCUGUAAGCUAAAGGGCCAACACUGAAAAGAGACUGAGUGCUCCUCCUGCCGACAGGGACCGGUAAUGAUGUUCAGCAUCUGCUGGAGGAGACUGACUGGAUGUCCUCUGCUUGGUGAGCAAGGACAGUGUGUUAGAGGGAGGCUUAGGAUGAAACAUCUAUGACUCCAGCAGAAAUUUAAGGUAACUGGGCCACCUAUUGCUGUAAGUGGGGCACUGCGACGUCACAACGAUAACCUGAAGACAAAGCUAACACUGAACACAGCCCGGGUUAAAUGGGUUCAGUGCUGAAAACGGCCCAUACAGAAAUGUAAUACAGCACCAGUCCUGCUGGAAAAUGAAAUCU